AACACGUGGCGUGCGCAAGUAGGAAAAGAAGAAGACGUUGUUCUGAAGAACGUUUGAUCACGGCUAAAGUACAGAGUACGUUCACGGCAGCGUUCUUCGGGCUUAGGCAGCGGGCAUGGAAGUUGGAAUGGAAGCCGCUACCUCCUGGCGGUCUUGGGGCGCAGGUUGGGGCGGCAUGGGAUCUACCCGCAAGGAGAGCCUUCACAACGGCGGCGCCUUGGCAGCCGGAGCGGAUUGCUGCGGUGAGGCAGCCCUGCAAAAGGCGGAGCUCAGAUCCAUCUACGGGGGCGGCCACCCUUGGCGACGUCGUGGGUCAGCGAGAAGCACCACCGGCCGAACCUACGUCACGUGCAACCAAGAAGGGCAUAUGAGCCGGGAGUGUCCCACCGCUGCCUCGGGACGAGGCUGCUUCAAGUGUGGCGAAGAAGGCCACAUGAGCAGAAGUUGAUCUGCAGACAUUUGGGCGAGACACACCCAGAUGUGGGCCGCUGCCCUUCGUGUGUGGCCAAAUUAUGCGUUUUGCGGGUACUUCCUUCUUUAGUAGCUUGUUUAAUUUUAGGAAAUUGUGAAAUUUUUACUUUUUUGAUGAUAAUAGUAAAUAUAUUCUUAUACCUUCUA